AUCUACCCGACUCACAUUCACAUCACAUGCAAACGGCACAUUGCAAGCAGUUAUAAUCGCAGCAAUAAUUAAAGCUAAACUUUAAAUAGGUGAUGAUCAUGGAUUCUAAUUAGGUCGUAUUACAAGCACAUGCACGUCAAUCGAUCAACUGAUCUUCAACUCUUGAAUUGGUUCCAAGCUUCCUUGACUCGAUCCUUGACCAACUCUUGAUCCAAUCGCUAUCAACCGCUUAGAGCCCUGUUCAUCUCAUGCAUCAUCUUCGACUUGAUCGUUGACGUACAUCACAUCACAGAAAAUACAACCAGAUAUAAAAUAAAAAUAAAAAUAAAUUACAUCCCCUUUUAGGAGGC
rnacentral:lncRNA from 1 species